GACAUGUGAAUUCAUAGCAUGUCAGAAGGCAGACCCGGAGAACUGAAACAUCUUAGUACCCGGAGGAAGAGAAAGAAAAAUCGAUUCCCUGAGUAGCGGCGAGCGAAACGGGAAGAGCCCAAACCAACAAGCUUGCUUGUUGGGGUUGUAGGACACUCUAUACGGAGUUACAAAAGAACAUGUUAGACGAAUCAUCUGGAAAGAUGAAUCAAAGAAGGUAAUAAUCCUGUAGUCGAAAACAUAUUCUCUCUUGAGUGGAUCCUGAGUACGACGGAGCACGUGAAAUUCCGUCGGAAUCUGGGAGGACCAUCUCCUAAGGCUAAAUACUCUCUAGUGACCGAUAGUGAACCAGUACCGUGAGGGAAAGGUGAAAAGUACCCCGGAAGGGGAGUGAAAGAGAACUUGAAACCGUGUGCUUACAAGUAGUCAGAGCCCGUUAAUGGGUGAUGGCGUGCCUUUUGUAGAAUGAACCGGCGAGUUACGAUCUGAUGCAAGGUUAAGCAGCAAAUGUGGAGCCGCAGCGAAAGCGAGUCUGAAUAGGGCGUUGAGUAUUUGGUCGUAGACCCGAAACCAGGUGAUCUACCCUUGGUCAGGUUGAAGUUCAGGUAACACUGAAUGGAGGACCGAACCGACUUACGUUGAAAAGUGAGCGGAUGAACUGAGGGUAGCGGAGAAAUUCCAAUCGAACUUGGAGAUAGCUGGUUCUCUCCGAAAUAGCUUUAGGGCUAGCCUCAAGUGAUGAUUAUUGGAGGUAGAGCACUGUUUGGACGAGGGGCCCCUCUCGGGUUACCGAAUUCAGACAAACUCCGAAUGCCAAUUAAUUUAACUUGGGAGUCAGAACAUGGGUGAUAAGGUCCGUGUUCGAAAGGGAAACAGCCCAGACCACCAGCUAAGGUCCCAAAAUAUAUGUUAAGUGGAAAAGGAUGUGGCGUUGCCCAGACAACUAGGAUGUUGGCUUAGAAGCAGCCAUCAUUUAAAGAGUGCGUAAUAGCUCACUAGUCGAGUGACACUGCGCCGAAAAUGUACCGGGGCUAAACAUAUUACCGAAGCUGUGGAUUGUCCUUUGGACAAUGGUAGGAGAGCGUUCUAAGGGCGUCGAAGCAUGAUCGCAAGGACAUGUGGAGCGCUUAGAAGUGAGAAUGCCGGUGUGAGUAGCGAAAGACGGGUGAGAAUCCCGUCCACCGAUUGACUAAGGUUUCCAGAGGAAGGCUCGUCCGCUCUGGGUUAGUCGGGUCCUAAGCUGAGGCCGACAGGCGUAGGCGAUGGAUAACAGGUUGAUAUUCCUGUACCACCUAGUAUCGUUUUAAUCGAUGGGGGGACGCAGUAGGAUAGGCGAAGCGUGCUGUUGGAGUGCACGUCCAAGCAGUAAGGCUGAGUGUUAGGCAAA
rnacentral:rRNA from 1 species